UUCGAAGGGGGCUAACGUUGCUCGGAAUGACUGGGCGUAAAGGGCGCGUAGGCGGCUUACAUAGUUAGGCGUGAAAUUCCUGCGCUCAACCUGGGGACUGCGUCUAAUACAUGUAGGCUUGAGUGUGAAAGAGGGUCGUGGAAUUUCCAGUGUAGAGGUGAAAUUCGUAGAUAUUGGAAAGAACGCCGGUGGCGAAGGCGGCGACCUGGUUCAUUACUGACGCUGAGGCGCGAAAGCGUGGGGAGCAAACAGG
rnacentral:rRNA from 1 species